ACGGGAGGCAGCAGUAAGGAAUCUUGCACAAUGGGGGAAACCCUGAUGCAGCAACGCCGCGUGAGUGAUGAAGGUCUUCGGAUUGUAAAACUCUGAUCUAAGGGAAGAAACAAAUGACGGUACCUUAGGAGAAAGCCCCGGCUAACUACGUGCCAGCAGCCGCGGUAAUACGUAGGGGGCAAGCGUUAUCCGGAAUUAUUGGGCGUAAAGAGUGCGUAGGUGGUUGCCUAAGCGCAAGGUUUAAUCUUGAGGCUUAACCUCACUCUGCCUUGCGAACUGGGCUACUUGAGUGCAGGAGGGGAAAGCGGAAUUCCUAGUGUAGCGGUGAAAUGCGUAGAUAUUAGGAGGAACACCAGUGGCGAAGGCGGCUUACUGGACGAUAACUGACGUUGAGGCUCGAAAGCGUGGGGAGCAAACAGGAUUAGAUACCCUGGUA
rnacentral:rRNA from 1 species